rnacentral:lncRNA from 1 species
CCCAGACAUUUAAAUACAUUGAGCCAGGGCUGCUGCAAGCCUGGCUGAACUACUCAGUCAAAGAAGUAACACAUCUCUCCAUUAAGCUUCCCCUGAUCUUGAUCAGGCUUGCAGACUGAAAAACACGGAAGAUCAUUAUUCCCAGACACCAAUUCAAGGAGGAACUUAAACCAUAAUCACAAGGCAAACUAAAGAGAAACUUCAGCUCUGCCUCUCAAGAACUUUGUGGAAAGUGAACUUUGUUAUCAAGUGCAACCUUUUAACACAGGCUUGUGAAUUCAGAACAUGGAUGCUAGGCUGAGAGGGCUAAUCAGAAAACAUAUAAGCUCCUCAAAGAAGAAGCAUCUCUCAGUGCGCA